ACGGAAGGCAGCAGUGGGGAAUAUUGGACAAUGGGGGAAACCCUGAUCCAGCGACGCCGCGUGAGUGAAGAAGUAUUUCGGUAUGUAAAGCUCUAUCAGCAGGGAAGAAAAAUGACGGUACCUGACUAAGAAGCACCGGCUAAAUACGUGCCAGCAGCCGCGGUAAUACGUAUGGUGCAAGCGUUAUCCGGAUUUACUGGGUGUAAAGGGAGCGCAGGCGGUACGGCAAGUCUGAUGUGAAAGCCCGGGGCUCAACCCCGGUACUGCAUUGGAAACUGUCGAACUAGAGUGUCGGAGGGGUAAGCGGAAUUCCUAGUGUAGCGGUGAAAUGCGUAGAUAUUAGGAGGAACACCAGUGGCGAAGGCGGCUUACUGGACGAUAACUGACGCUGAGGCUCGAAAGCGUGGGGAGCAAACAGGAUUAGAUACCCUGGUA
rnacentral:rRNA from 1 species